rnacentral:rRNA from 1 species
CGAUGAGAUGGAAACGAACAGAGCUGGCGUAUCUGGUCUGCAUUCAUCCGUGUGUUCUUGGGCGUUGGAUUGCACUCUCCAGACUGGGAUGGUGUUCAUUCUGUUCAGGGGCUCAUGGAGCAUUUGCAGGCGGAGUGCGCUGAGAUGCUCGGAGCAGCUGYAUGAGCUUGGCUUUGAGGCCAGCCCUUCGGGGUCUGGUACCCGGGCUGUGGGAGUGCUGUUUGUUCUGGGUGCUGAGUGUGUGCAAUGGCAACGGGUCCGUGUUGGUUUGAGCUGGCGGUCGGUGGCGGUCGCGUGCGACACGUGCCAGCAGUCAGUUCGGUCCUGCUCGGGCUCUCAUUGCAUGUUCUCGGUGUAAAAGCCGGUCAUCUGUCCGACCCGUCUUGAAACACGGACCAAGGAGUUUAGCGUGUGCGCGAGUCAUUGGGAGUUGAAAACCCAAGGGCGUAAUGAAAGUGAAGGUCUCCUUGCGGAGCUGAUGUGUGAUCUCGUGCACCCCGGUGUGCGGGCGCAACAUAGUCCCGUCCCGAUCGCAUGCGAUGGGGCGGAGACAGAGCGUACGCGCUGAGACCCGAAAGAUGGUGAACUAUUCCUGAGCAGGAUGAGCCAGAGGAACCUCUGGUGGAAGUCCGAAGCGAUUCUGACGUGCAAAUCGAUCGUCUGACUUGGGGUAAUAGGGGCGAAAGACU